rnacentral:rRNA from 1 species
AUCGAACGCUGGCGGCAGGCCUAACACAUGCAAGUCGAACGAGAGGCGGACGGGUGAGUAAUGUCUGGGCAACUGCCUGACGGAGGGGGAUAACUACUGGAAACGGUAGCUAAUACCGCAUACCACAGGAUGUGCCCAGAUGGGAUUAGCUAGUGGGUGGGGGAACGGCUCACCUAGGCGACGCUCCCUAGCUGGUCUGAGAGGAUGACCAGCCACCCUGGAACGGAGACACGGUCCAGACUCCUACGGGAGGCAGCAGUGGGGAAUAUUGCACAAUGGGCGCAAGCCUGAUGCAGCCAUGCCGCGUGUAUGAAGAAGGCCUUCGGGUUGUAAAGUACUUUCAGCGAGGAGGCGUUACUCGCAGAAGAAGCACCGGCUAACUCCGUGCCAGCAGCCGCGGUAAUUC